UGAAGGAAUCGUGUAUCCCACAAGCCCACAAC
rnacentral:piRNA from 1 species